rnacentral:tRNA from 1 species
CCCGGUUAGUUGGUAGAGCAUGGUGUUUGCAACGCCAGGGUUGUGGGUUCGAUUCCCACGGGG